GUUUACGGCCACACAGCCUGGUUCACGCCCGAUCUCGUUUGAUCUCGGAAGCUAAGAAAGGGUGGGCCUGGUUAGUACUUGGAUGGGAGACCGCCUGGGAAUACCAGGUGCUGUAAGCU
rnacentral:rRNA from 1 species